rnacentral:rRNA from 1 species
GAUGAACGCUGGCGGCGUGCUUAACACAUGCAAGUCGAACGGAAAGGCCCAGGCUUGCUUGGGUGCUCGAGUGGCGAACGGGUGAGUAACACGUGGGUGAUCUGCCCUGCACUUCGGGAUAAGCCUGGGAAACUGGGGCUAAUACCGGAUAGGACGUUGGUUUGGAUGCCAUGGGGGAAAGUUUUUUCGGUGUGGGGUAAGCUCGCGGCCUAUAAGCUUGUUGGUGGGGGAAUGGCGUACCAAGGCGUCGACGGGUAGCCGCCCGGAGAGGGUGUACGGCGCCACUGGGACUGAGAGACGGGCCAGACUCCUACGGGAGGCAGCAGUGGGGAAUAUUGCACAAUGGGCGCAAGCCUGAGGCAGCGACGCCGCGUGGGGGAUGACGGCCUUCGGGUUGUAAACUCCUUUCGCGAGGGACGAAGCGUUUUUGUGACGGUACCUGGAGAAGAAGCACCGGCUAACUACGUG